UGAGCCCCUCAUCGGGCUCUGUGCUGAUAGCUUGGAGCCUGGAGACUGCUUCAGAUUCUGUGUCUCCCUCUAUUUCUCUGGCCCUCCCCCCAUUCAUGCUCUGUCUCUCUCCAUCUCAAAAAUAAAUAAAUGUUAAAAAAUUUUUUUUUAAAUGAUCAUACUGUGGUUUGGUUGUGUUUGAAAUUGGAGCACAGAGGCACUAAGGCUAUAGAAAAGAUUCCUUAAAUGCGCCCCGGGUUCCUUAUCUUGAUGGACUUAGGGGGUUCUUAGCUCUGUACUGUAGAAUUUCAGAUUCUAUCACUCAGUAAGUGUUUGAGUACAUACACCUGCACAUGCAUUCAUUUAGCAGAUUUUCCCCCAACCGUGACAUGGUGAAUUCCAUUUUCAACACUCAAUAUCUAGGGUGCCUGGGUGGCUCAGUUGGUUGGCCAUCCGACUCUGGAUUUUCCAGUCAUUUUUCAUCUUUUCCACACAAGGACCAUAGUGGUAAUGGUGAAUGAGUUCGCCCUGAAGAAAAUGGCAUCACAAAGUCCCACGGGGGGACGCGAUGUGACAUCAAUCUUUGCCUACAGGUCUCACAACCGUCACUAUUUUCUCCAACAGUUCAUUCAAGUCAUACAUUUUCCUCCAAGGUGAUGUUUUCGGCGAAUUUCUUAAAGUACGUUUUCUCCUGAAAUCUGAUUCCCAUCAUUCUGCAUCUCUUGGCCCUCUCUGUCCACCGGUGCGUCAGCCCGAGGGGACCCGAAUCCUCGUGUGAGGAGCAGGGAAGUGUGUGUGUGUGUGUGUGUGUGUGUGUGUAUCCAUGUACUCAUGGGACAAAUGUGCCCUUUCUGUCAUUCCGGGCAUCAUUCCAAACGCAGGGGAUGCACUGGGAGAACAGGGCAAGACAAUCCUACCCCAUGGGGAUUUUAAGCUCUGUUCUCCUGGGGGAAAAUCCAACAUCAACCCACCUAAGACAGUGUGAUGAGAAGAAACAAAGCCAUCAGAGAGAUGAAAAGGCUACAAUCGCUCGCAGCCUUGCUGUGCAAUGAGAUCGCACUGUUCACACUGCCUCUUCCGUCUGUAGUCUGCAUUAAUCUCCUUUCCUGCUGCUGUUUCCGGAGAAGCAACCAUCCUGUCUGCAUGGGGAAAAGGCACUUACUUACCCAGCAUCCAGUCCAUCUCUUCUGUGUUAUCCCCGUACAGCCCAUGGACACUCUUCCCGCGGAACUUCUCGGUGGUGAUCAGAGGGGUGUGCACGUGUAGAAAGGACACAAAGAGGAGGAAAGGUGUUUGCUUGUUUCUGAGAAUAAAUAACACGACUGGGUUUACUUUUAUGUAAAGCAGAGACCGAGGCCCUAGAAGAUGCAAAAUAGGGAUCUAGAUCUCAUGUCCUUAAAGAAGUCUACCUGCUAGUGUUUAAUGUGAUGGCGUCACCCUUCUAAAGUCUGUUGAGGGGCGCCUGGGUGGCUCAGUUGGUUGAGCGUCUGACUUUGGCUCAGGUCAUGAUCUCACGGUUUCUGACUUCGAGUCCCACAUCGGGCUCUGUGCUGACAGCUCAGAGCCCACUUUGGAUCCUCUCUCUUGCUUUCUCUCUUCCCCUCCCUUGCUGGUUCUCUCUCUCUCAAAAAUAAAUGAAGAAACUUAAAAAAUGG